UUUGUGUACGGCUCCCAAACCACCAUCGCCGAGUCGGAUCAUGAGCCAUAAGGAAAGGCAAUUAACUACGGGGAGCGCUCAUAUUAUAUAGAAACAGUGAAACCGUAUUGUCAUUUAGUUUCAAGCAACUAGACUGAUUGGAAAAUGCGGCUACGGGCUCAUAUCUUGGUGAUUCGUAAGCAGCAUCUUCGAGGGACAGGACUGUGAUCUUGGCGUGGCUGGUGGAUGAGCCAAUCAGAAGCACAUGGACAAACCAGCAGCACAGAAGAGAACCUCUCACCUCACUCUGUCACUUUUCCUAGAGCUACAGCAUGUUUUGACUCAACAGGAGGUGAGAAAAAGACGAGCCGACUAG